rnacentral:rRNA from 1 species
AUACGUAGGUGGCAAGCGUUAUCCGGAUUUACUGGGCGUAAAGGGAGCGUAGGCGGAUAUUUAGUGGGAUGUGAAAUACCCGAGCUUAACUUGGGAGCUGCAUUCCAAACUGGGUAUCUAGAGUGUGGGAGAGGAAAGUGGAAUUCCUAGUGUAGCGGUGAAAUGCGUAGAGAUUAGGAAGAACACCAGUGGCGAAGGCGACUUUCUGGACCAUAACUGACGCUGAGGCUCGAAAGCGU